CGCUGGCGGCGUGCCUAAUACAUGCAAGUCGAACGGUCUUUCUAUGGAAGCUUGCUUCCACUGAGAAGAUAGUGGCGAACGGGUGAGUAACACGUGGGUAACCUGCCCAUAAGAGGGGGACAACAUCCGGAAACGGGUGCUAAUACCGCAUAGUCUUCUUGAUCGCAUGAUCGGGAAAGGAAAGACGGCCUUUGUGCUGUCGCUUAUGGAUGGACCCGCGGCGUAUUAGUUAGUUGGUGAGGUAACGGCUCACCAAGACGAUGAUACGUAGCCGACCUGAGAGGGUGAUCGGCCACAUUGGGACUGAGACACGGCCCAAACUCCUACGGGAGGCAGCAGUAGGGAAUCUUCCGCAAUGGACGAAAGUCUGACGGAGCAACGCCGCGUGAGUGAAGAAAGGUUUUCGGAUCGUAAAACUCUGUUGUCAGAGAAGAACAAGUUGGAGAGUAACUGCUCCAGCCUUGACGGUAUCUGACCAGAAAGCCACGGCUAACUACGUGCCAGCCGCUGC
rnacentral:rRNA from 1 species